UACAUAGGAUGCAAGCGUUAUCCGGAAUUACUGGGCGUAAAGGGUUCGUAGGCGGUUUUUUAAGUAAGGGGUGAAAUCUUCGGGCUCAACCCGAAAACUGCUUCUUAAACUGGAAGACUUGAGGGAGGGAGAGGCUGACGGAAUUCUGCAAGUAGGGGUAAAAUCCGUUGAUCUGCAGAGGAACAUCAAAAGCGAAGGCAGUCAGCUGGACCUCUUCUGACGCUGAGGAACGAAAGCGUGGGUAGCGAACGGG
rnacentral:rRNA from 1 species